rnacentral:rRNA from 1 species
GGAAUCUUGGACAAUGGGCGCAAGCCUGAUCCAGCCAUGCCGCGUGAGUGACGAAGGCCUUAGGGUCGUAAAGCUCUUUCGCUGGAGAAGAUAAUGACGGUAACCGGAGAAGAAGCCCCGGCUCACUUCGUGCCAGCAGCCGCGGUAAUACGAAGGGGGCUAGCGUUGUUCGGAAUUACUGGGCGUAAAGCGCACGUAGGCGGAUUGGUCAGUUAGGGGUGAAAUCCCGGAGCUCAACUCCGGAACUGCCUUUAAUACUGCCAAUCUAGAGACCGAGAGAGGUAAGUGGAACUCCUAGUGUAGAGGUGGAAUUCGUAGAUAUUAGGAAGAACACCAGUGGCGAAGGCGGCUUACUGGCUCGGAACUGACGCUGAGGUGCGAAAGCGUGGGGAGCAAA